rnacentral:hammerhead_ribozyme from 2 species
GUCCAACUGAUGAGUCCAAAAAAGGACGAAGCACGUGUCUUGGGC